GACGAACGCUGGCGGCGUGCUUAACACAUGCAAGUCGAACGGAAGGCCCUGCUUUUGUGGGGUGCCCGAGUGGCGAACGGGUGAGUAACACGUGAGUAACCUGCCCUUGACUUUGGGAUAACUUCAGGAAACUGGGGCUAAUACCGGAUAGGAGCUCCUGCUGCAUGGGGGGGGUUGGAAAGUUUCGGCGGUUGGGGAUGGACUCGCGGCUUAUCAGCUUGUUGGUGGGGUAGUGGCUUACCAAGGCUUUGACGGGUAGCCGGCCUGAGAGGGUGACCGGCCACAUUGGGACUGAGAUACGGCCCAGACUCCUACGGGAGGCAGCAGUGGGGAAUAUUGCACAAUGGGCGGAAGCCUGAUGCAGCAACGCCGCGUGCGGGAUGACGGCCUUCGGGUUGUAAACCGCUUUCGCCUGUGACGAAGCGUGAGUGACGGUAAUGGGUAAAGAAGCACCGGCUAACUACGUG
rnacentral:rRNA from 1 species